rnacentral:sRNA from 1 species
UUUUGCCCCAGAUGGUAGUGGAAAGCCCGGACUGAAAAAGGCUAUUUUUUUUAGGCAGAAAAGAGCGACCGGCAGGAAGCUCCUUUUAUGACUUUAGAAAAAAAGUAUUUUUAAGGAGGACUUGUAACGAACAGCUGGAAUAGGC